GGACAACUGCCCUGAGGACUGGAAUAAUCCCGGGAAACUGGGAGUAAUUCCAGAUAUGCCAGGGAACCUGGAAUGGUUUCUGGCAGAAAUGCUCCGGCGCCUCAGGAUGGGUCUGCGGCCUAUCAGGGUAGUAGUGGGUGUAACGUACCCACUAGCCUACGACGGGUACGGGUUGUGAGAGCAAGAGCCCGGAGAUGGAUUCUGAGACAUGAAUCCAGGCCCUACGGGGUGCAGCAGGCGCGAAAACUUUACAAUGCGGGCAACCGCGAUAAGGGGACCUCGAGUGCUGGGUUACAAACCUGGCUGUUGGGCUGCCUAAAAAGCAGUCUAUAGCAAGGGCCGGGCAAGACCGGUGCCAGCCGCCGCGGUAACACCGGCGGCUCGAGUGGUAACCGCUAUUAUUGGGUCUAAAGGGUCUGUAGCCGGCCGACUAAGUCUCUUGGGAAAUCUGGCAUCUCAAGUGUCAGGCUGCCAGGGGAUACUGGUCGGCUUGGGACCGGGAGAGGUGAGAGGUACCUCGGGGGUAGGGGUGAAAUCUUGUAAUCCUCGAGGGACCACCAGUGGCGAAGGCGUCUCACCAGAACGGAUCCGACGGCAAGGGACGAAAGCUAGGGGCACGAACCGGAUUAGAUACCCGGGUAGUCCUAGCCGUAAACGAUACUCGCUAGGUGUCGGCCACGGUGCGACCGUGGUCGGUGCCGUAGGGAAGCCGUUAAGCCCGCCGCCUGGGGAGUACGGCCGCAAGGCUGAAACU
rnacentral:rRNA from 1 species